ACCCAGAAUGGAGAAAUCUGUCAGGUCUUAGGAGAGGUCUACUUGGUUCAAAUGUUUGGUGUUAAAGGUUGCAACGAGUGGUAUAUAUAAUGAGAGAAGUAAAAGCCUGCAUACGGUUAGGAGUCAGAAAGUCGACUAGCUCUUGAAGUCUCGAUGGGAAAAAAUUUUUAAAGAAUGUAUAUACGCUAUAUAUAUAUAACAUCUAUAUUACUAUAUAUAAUUUUACAUAUUAUAUAUAAGGUAAUAUAUGUAACGUAAUAUAUAAUGUAUGUUAUCUACAACGUAAUAAUAUGUACAGUAUAUUAUAGCUUAGCAUAUAUAUUAUAUAUGUUUAGAACCCUCAAAGAUAGCAUUACAUGUUAUUUAAGGAGAAAUAAAUAUUUAUUAAAAUUAUACAAAUGAGAGAAAUAUCAGAUUAUGUAGUGAGGGAAAGGGAAAUGAUUCUGGAGUGGUACAGAGGAAACCUCAGUCAUAUGUGCAGUAUUUUAUUUCUUUAAAAAUAUCUCAGUCAGAUACAGUAUAAAGUUAAGAUAUAAAGAAGUGGGGUGUGGGCUUAUGAAUUUGGGAGGGAUGGGUAAUUUUCAUCAAAAGACGUGAUUGAUAUGAAUCGUUGGGGCGGGGGAAGAUGACGACGCAUCUUGAUGGCAACACCAUUGGAUGACAGCCUGUUUGACCAAUAGGAGAGCGUGGUGGGAGGUUGUCUAGGGAGCGGGUGACCUCUACUUGGUAAGAAGUGGGUGGGUAUCUUUAAGGGAGUAAACCUCAAGAGAAAAAUAAUGUAUUCUUCACUAUGAUUAGAAAUGGAAGCUGAAAACAUUAUAGACGUUAAUAACAUACGAUGCAGCAAAUAAUCAAAAUUGGGAAGAAGCUGUUGAAAUAUGAUGUUAAGGUUUGCUCAGAAAUUGAAGUAUUAUGUUAGAACUGGCUGUAAGUGAGAGAAACUAGUGAGACACAUCAUAAAGAAGGAAAAUGUAGAGGAGAACUGAGGCUGCAAUCUAAGAGGAGGGAGUGUCCGUCUAGGCUGCCAUGCAGAACACACAGGUUUGUAAGAUGCUAAACAAAGAAGGGCAUUCAAGGCCAGGAUGAGGACUGCAUCCUCAGAGAUAAUCAGAAUUGGAAGUUCAGUGCAGAGUUGUAGGUCAAGCCAGAGAUCGAUCAACCAGCUGAGGAAAGAAGUCAGGAUGUGGCUAAAUGAGAAUUGGAAUAUGAUUGUCGUGCUGCCCUGAAAGCUUUGUUGGAGAACGAUUUGAAACAAUUGGUGUAGCCAACAGAAUGAGAAGAAAGAGAGAUGAAAUGUGAUGGACUUAAAAUGGGCCAGAGAAGGAACCCUAGGAAAAGUCCAGAAGGAAUGGAAGGUCGAAGCAGACACAGUACAGACUAUAGGAAAUAAGGAAGAUAGAAGAAGGGGGACUUGUGAGUGCUGACGAUCAAAAUGUACGUAUCCAGAAGAGAUGAUCAGUUUCGCGGGAAUCAUACAGCUGGAAGAAGGAAUGAUGGAGGAAAUGUAUGGAGUUUGCAGCAAAAGGGGAAAGGGAAAAUGGAGAAAAGGAAUAGAGCAACGUUCGGGUUGCCUGCGGAUGGAACCUUGUUACUUGAAGAGUCGUGCUCAUGGGAGACGUGGCUGUUGCUCCACACUUGGGCCAAGGUCACGAGAGAAUAAAAGGAAAAUGGGAUGGAAGUAAGUAAAGGGGGCAUUGUGUGAAUUAGAGAGCAGCUGAGUAAAAGGAAUGGCUACAAGACAAACAGGUAUGGAUGAAAGAAAACACCGAGGCUGUCAGAUCUCCAAAUUUUGUGUAGAGUGGGAGAGCAUCCAGGGCCUGAAAAAAAAAAACAAAACAGGAGCUGGAUAGGCUGGCCCUUGAAGUCUUAGUGGGAAAUUUACAAUUGAGUCGUUGCUUCCUAGGAAAGGCUAGGAGACGGAUUGGAUUAAGAUAAACUCUGAUAAGCCAUUGGUGGAAACCUUAGAAAUAUCACCAGUGCCGUUUUAGAAGGUGUGGACUGAGUAUUUUUUCUGUAGAACAAAUGAAUGCUUAUUGGUUGAGGAGUGGUUGGGGCUCAUGGUGAAUGUUUAAGAUCCGGUAGGGCAGAUAUUCAAACUAGGGGAGACUUCCUGUCAGUGUGAUGUUAAAUUUGCUGAGAAGCUAAGGAGUCCUGUGAGUCAAAGUGAGAGAAGCAGUUGAACAGACUUGUAGAACACAAGAGGAAAGAGGAAGGGAGAGAAGAUGCUGCUUGUUUUGGGCGGGGGGGGGGGGCGGUGAGUAUGAAGAGUAUGAAUUAGGCUGGGUUUGGGAUAUGCAGGGUCAAAAUGGCCAAUAUGACCAAGACCAGAACGAGGGACACAGGUGUCCCCAGCCAAGUAUGCACGUUAUACUCGUUAACAUGAAAAGUUUUUAUCUCUACGUCCCCCUGUGCUUGGGAAACUGCGGCGAAUCGGCAUUCUUGUUGGCACACGUGUCUGUUCGGGAUGACAUCCAUUUGCUGUGGUUAAAGUUCUUCAUAGGCUUGCUUCCCAUGCUCAAGGUUUUUCAGGGCCUUGUGUGUUAUGUCCAUCACUUGCCCUACAAUACGUGUGGAACAGCUCCAGCAGUUCGCCAAUUGGUAAGUAAACAUUUCCUAGAAGUUUCUUAUUUAGCUAUUUCACUCAAAAAUGUAUAGGAGUUUGUUAUUUCUCUUGAAAGCCUUUUCGUUAUUCCUUGCGGCGUCAAAGGAGGAUGGAUGCAUUUACGGUAUUUUAUCAUAGCACGGGUUCACUGUGUGCUACAGACAAACACGUACACUAACGCAGGGACGAUAUGUUAAAUAAUUCUGCAGUCGGCUUUUAAAAUGGUUGACAUCAUAAGAAAUACUUGAAAGUUUUUUGUAAUAAUAUUUUUGUGAUGGUUGAGAAAAUACAUGGGAUUUUUUAAAAGGGUGAUGUUAGGGACUUUUCAAAUUUAAGAUACUGCAGCAUAAGCAUUUACUAACAAAAAUGGUUAUUCGGCAUAUUUUAAACCAAAAGGUGAUGAAAACUGCUUGAACGUAUAAAGAAGUUGAGGCAGGAAGAGAAUUGUGUGGUGAGGCAGUUCUGAAAAGAAGAAAGAGUGGAGAAAAAGAGGGACAGUAUCCAGGAAAGUAUGUUUGCGUAAAAAAGUGUGGCUGAUAAAGAGAAAGGUUUGGUGAAAUGGGCCUAAGACAAGGCAAGGUGCAGGGAUCCUACCAAGGAAUAAAUAGAAGCCAAGGCAGUUCAACAAAACAUGUAGGAAAAAAGAAAUAUGGAGACAGACUGAACAAUGGAUGUAGGAUAAAAACAGGAACCCAACAGGGAUUUAUUAGCGAGUGUAUGAGAAUGAGACACACUCAGUAGACGGAUGGUUAAUAAAAGAUAAAACUGGGGAGGGGGGGGGUCCAAGCAGAUGGGUGGAAAAGCAAAAUGUACCUUCCGCUGGGGAAGGUCAUGUGCAGAAUGGCAUCCUGAAACAAGCUUUGGCACUAUAACUGUAUCUGAUGGAACAAGGAAGAAUAGAGAUGAUAGAAGCUAAGUAAAGAGAAUGUUGUGUGGAUUAGAGCACAUUUCAGAGUAACUAGACUAAAUAGAACGUAAAACUAGAGUAAAUGUAGGGAGACCCAGAAACCCGAGCGCGGUGAAGUAGCACACAAGUCAAGGAAGUGGGUGUAGGAUUAAAGACUCGCUAAAGGUAGUGAAGAGCAUGAGGGCAGGAUGAAAGAGGUUAGGAGGCAGCUACAUGCAUUAGAAAGGAGUAUUAGCAAAAGGCAAAUGGGAAAAGAUAGACUGAGUUGCACGUUUAAUCCAGUUCCAAACACGGGAGGGGAAAGAGGUUAAGAAACGGAUAAAGAGCGACUCCGUGGACGGGGGCGGGGGAAGGGUGUUGUGGAAGGGCACUGGAAAAUGCACAUCCAUACCUGGAAAGGGCAUCGAACUUCAUCAGAGAAAUGGUAGCGGGCAGACAACGGAACAGCGUGGGAGUGCGGGAGGAGGCCCGGGCCGAGGGACAGCGGGGCAGAGAAAGGCACACACAUAGAGGGGUUAAGCAGACAUAGGGUUAUGGGACUGAAAGAAUUCCGUAUUGGCUUUUUCUCAGGGACAAAACUGUCCCCAGUAAUAAUGGAAAUAAAAGAACAAAGAAGAAAUUGCAUGGCUUACACUACACACAGAGACCAUGAAAAAACGAGAGAACAGGAAAGCCAGUGCCUGACAGGGAAAAUGGCAAAAGAGUGACAAAAUGAAGGUGGUUGGACAGAGAAUCUUGCAAAACCAGUCACAGCAUGUAAAUUUAAAAGAUAUGAAGGAUUAAUGAGGGAAGAGAAGAUAUUGAUGGCAAGAAGAGGGAAACCAGGCUAAGAAGGAGGAGGUUAAGAGUGUAUAUAACUUCUUGUAGCUGAGUUCAAGGGAGGCUCCAUUUUCAACAAGCUCCAGAGGAAGAACCGAAAAGAAUCUGGCAGAGAGAGCGGAGCAGAGGAAAGAGAGAUGAGGGGGAGAGGCCAGAGCGUCGGCUGCAAAAUUUAUGUACUAGUGAGUAGAUUUCCAAAGUUCUACCAGACAAAGGAAAGAGUAAGCACUUUGAAAACAAGUUAAAAUUAAACAUUGGAAUGAAUGAGCCAUGGAUUAGGGUAUUAAGUAAAAAGAAAUAAAAGUCACACUCAAUAAUGAUCCUUGACCAUGAGGAGGACAGACCUAAGAAAUAAGAAAUGUUAACUAUCAGUAGACUGAGUGCGGGGCAUGUCAGGUGUCAAAGGGAAUGCCAUGGGUCCCAGAGCAGAGAGCCAGGCAAGUGUCACAAUUUGAAGGCAGUGCUGGGAUUUGAGAAAGAAGGGUCAGUGGCAACUGAUUUAGGAGGUGACAGAUGGUGCCCGGGGAGCGCGGCCCGGGGAGUGAGCUGGGCUUCCACCGCAGUGGUUCUUCCCGAGGAUGGGGGGGUGGUUUUCACCCGAGGGGGGCUGUGGGCGCGGCCCCCAAGGCAGGCCUAUCAAAACAUCUGAGGGGGAGCAGUGCUCUGCUCCAACAAACACAAAACCAAAAAAACACAAAAAGAAACCCCAAAACCACGGCCCGAUGAUGAUGCUGAUAGGCGGUCUUGGGGGUCACGCAUCCUCGGGUGAGAAUCGCUGGGUGGAAGGGGCAGAGUGGAGGGCGGGCGGAGAGGUGAAGCUUGAGCAGAGGAGCCCCUGAGCCGGGGGUGCAUGGGGACAUCAGAGCCAGGACUGUCAGACACGGGGGAAGGGACGUGGGACCAGGUAGACAGCGAGCAGAUGGAUGUAGCCGAGAGGGCACCUGGCACAUUGGGGGCUGGGUGCGGAUUCACGGUCAGCGUGUAGGGAGUGGCGUGCCAAAGUGUUGUUCCCAGAGCUAGGGACGCUUCAGGACUCGGGCCGAGAGAGAGGAGAAUGGCGAUCGCAAGGAAGUUGUGUGAGCACCGUGAGCACAGAGCACGGGGCGGGCUGUCCACGCAGAAGGAAGGGGCAGGCGGGACAGGAGACCACAGGGCUGAUCGUCUGGGGGAGAGAUGCUGCCAGGGAGGCAGGACGACCCAGGGCUCCUGCAGGUGGAGGCCGAGUGCAGUGGUGUUGGGCCAUGUGGGCAGGGGCGAGGGCGGGAGGGAGGGUGGAAGGGAAAUGCUGUAGUGAAAGGAAAGAGGAAGCAGAGUCAGAGGAACAGGCUCCCGGAGAGCGCUGUAGGAAGAGUGUGCAACGAAGGGGUCCGAAUGGAAACAGGAAAGGUCGCAGGAGGGACGUGUGUGGGGCCCAGGCGGCCAUCAGGGUGUGGGUCCACAGGACGCGAGCAGGGGCUGGCGGGGAGCGUGUGGGUUCAGUACCGUAUGUCUGAAGCAGAGACGACGGAGGUGAGGUGAGCGGGGGGGUGAGGGAGCGAGCAGGGAGCACACAGCAGAGAGGACGGCGGAAGCAGCUGGACGACUCACAGAGGGUAGCUAAUGUCUCACGACUUAGGACAUUUUCUUUCCCUUGUAUAUAGUAGAGGCACAAAGCGGGAGAGACCUGCAGUCUGGGCCCAGGCGAUGGAGGUCAGGUGAGAAGUCUUAGGGUGUUGGUGUCACUGGCAGUUAGCAUGAGGAAGGGCAGGUAUGGAGCCUUGUAAUUAGGGCAGGAGGGGCUUAAUGAGAGCUUCUGGUACCACACUGUACCAAGAGAGGGAUGGGAAAGAGCCCAAAGGAGGGACUGGACGUGGAGAAUCCAGGACCUUUGACCCCUAGAGGAACUAGCCUGUGUCGAAGCCCGUGCGGGUGAAGGCACAUGAUCUGCAUCAGGCCAGCCAGGAGCCUGGGCCGGGUGGGAGGAGGCCCGGGGAGGAUGAGGGGGAGAGAGAGGGGCCUAGUGGGAAUGUCGGAGAGAGCGUGGUCCCUGCAGGGCACGGUGAGACGUAAAACGUCAGCAGGAAGCGCAGAGAAACAAGGACCUUCUUCCAGUGGCGGCCGUGACAAGGCCGCAUGCUUACAGAUGAACUGGGACAGCAGAUGGAUUCAGUGCUGCGAGCUGGGGAUGAAGAAGCCAGCAAUGGAGCGAACAUGAGGUCAGGCCCGAAAGGAGCUGGUAUAUCGAGGAACAGACGGCUGAAGCCAUCCCGGGACGCCAGGCAGUAGCAGAAGUGGAAUGGGAAGUUGUAGACGUGGCGGAGCGUGUCUCAAAGACAAGAGCGGGAGAACAGGCAGAAGAUGGGCCGAGGAAGGUUCGUUCCACACCCCGUGUGGAGAGGAGACCGUGGCAUCCUGAGUGGCUCCGAGAAGGCAGUCUGUGAGAGCUCGUGGGUCAGGUGAGCAGACAGGAGGAGGAAGAUACAGCAGACGCGGAAGAGGGGGAAAGAACUUCCAAAGCUGCGAGGGACUCAGGGUCGGCAAAGGGAGCACCUUGGGAAAGGAGGAGGCACCCGAAGAGCUCCCGGUCUCGUGGGGCAAGAGGUGUGGCAUUUGCAGUACGGAGGGCUGAUGGAAGGAGCAGAGACACCACAGCCAGAGGGUUUAAAAGCAGGGACCCUCAGCAGCCAGCAGGAAAAGGGGCCACAAUGCAUGCAGUGAAACAGAGGAAACACGGCAGUCUUGCACAUUAAGAGGGACUCUGCACAGAAACCACCAGCAGGUAACCUCAGGGACUCAGGAUGUAUUCAUGUGGAUGGAGUGCAGUGUGGGGGUAGCAGAUAUGUGAGUAAAGAUGGUGAAGGAGUUAAGUGUGAAUCGAGGCGAAGGUGACAUUUCACUAUUCCCAAAUGCAUGCUUCUGUUCCGGGGGGGCUGACAACGGUGGCGGUCUGGCACACAGAGCCUCCGCACAGGAAGCAGGGUGCGAGAGGAUGCUCAGAACCAGUGAGUAUCAUAGGGUCUGGUCUGAGAAGACGGCGUGCACAGCAACGGGCCCCAGAGAGAAAGGAGUGGGAUGCCGAGGGCUUGGGGGGUGGUGUUCACGAUGCUUGAUCAGGGGGACCAAAGAAGGGGCCACGCAGAACGGGAGGGAGAGCGAUAGGGGAGUCUUAAGACCUGCACUUGGGUGCGGUGAGAGGAAUGUGGUCAAGAGGGAAAGAAGGCAGAGCAGGGGUCUGGAACUUGACAGUGGGGAGUGGGAGAGCAUGGGUGAUAGGAAGGAGUGAAAGUGCAGGCCUGGGGUCAAGUCCUGUGGACAAGGACUUGACUGAAAGGGAAGACAGAAGGGGAAGGAAGGUGAGAUGGAUGAGGCUAGGGGAAAAGGGAGCCUACAGGGAGGGGAGUGGUCAGAGCCAGUGGAAGGACCAGAGGAGCGACAGCAGAUGGUUUCAGAAAGAACGUGGCCUGUUGAGGGGAUGGGAAGGGAGUGAGCUGUGAGAGAGGGUCAUAGGAGGGAGCACAUCCCCCAUGAUGAAGGGAUGACUUCAUGCAAUUAAAUGACAGGCAUUGAGGUGAGUUGCAUGGGCCCUAAAGAAGAGGCAGGCCGCUUUCCAUGGGCCAAGGAGAGAAAAAGAAGCAAUGUGGCCCAUAAGGAAAGGUCGUAGGAAGUAAUGUCCAAAUGGGGCCUUCCUUGCUGCAAUGUGACAGGAGGGUCACCUCCCAGACAGAGACCAGGUAAGAGGCACUUAGGACACGAGGGAUGGGAGCGCAACGGCAAGGAGACAGGGUGGACGCUAACACAGGGAGCAAGGAGAAGGGGGAGGUGACAGAGUAUGCAUUCUGGUAGAUCUCAGAGGUGCCUAACAGACAGAAGCUCCGGGCGUGCUGCUAGCCAGUGAGAUGAGAGGCAUUGGGAGGGGAGAGGGAAAAGGGGGGGUGGCACGGGCCACCCCUACAGCCUUGAAUGUCGUGGUAAGAGUAGAACUUUCCGGCCAGGCUCUUUACUACGGAUCCGGUGGGGAUGGGGUGGGAGGCGGGGAAUGGGGUGGGAGGGGGGAAAUGGGAGUAGGGGUUGGGUAUGGGUCAGAUUUAACCGGGUGGGUUGGGUUUUACUGGGUGGGUUGGGUUUUACUGGGUCUGGAGGGCAGGGUUGGGAUUGUUGGGCUCAGGGUCGGGGUGGGGGGUUUGGGGUUUGUGGGGGUGGGACCAUGAGCCAAGCUCUAGGCACUGAGAAAACCAUCUUCAACUGAGCUUGUGGACUGAUUACACAUUAAGUGUUGAGGGUGACGGCCACAGGCUGAGAAGGUGAGAGAGACCACUGACUUCACCUGGAGAGGACAGGGAAGAGCGGCACAGGAAAGGGAGAAGGGAAGGGUAUGGUUGGCAGGUAAAUCGGAGGGCCAUGAGGACCACAGGGGCAAGGCUUUACAGGAUGAGACUGUCACGGGUCUGAAAUGAGCAGGAGUAAUAUAGGUCAGGGGACAGUGGCAAAUGCUAAGAAACACCAGACUGGACCAGAGACAUUUUCACAAUGCUGGAGAGUCAUAAAAAACGGAGGGACAGGAGGAGUGUGGCAGGAGGUGUGAAAAGAACAAUGCCGUGAUGCAUACUGGAUUUGUGGCAUGUCACGUGUCAAAGAGUAAAUAUGGUGGUUUCAAGAGGAGAGUGCCAAUCCAGUCACACAGCGGGGUGGUGCUGAGAUCUGAUGAAGUUUCCAUGGCAAAUAACGGAAGCCUAUAGGUGCACAAGAAGAAACUGCAGCUAGGAAGUCAGGGCUUCCAUAGCAGUGGUUCUUCCCGAGGAUGGGGGGGGUGGUUUUCACCCGAGGGGGGCUGUGGGCAUGGCCCCCAAGGCAGGCCUAUCAAAACAUCUGAGGGGGAGCAGUGCUCUGCUCCAACAAAAACAAAACCAAAAAAAAAAAAAAAAAAAAACCCCAAACAAACCACAAGAAGAAAACACAAAA